rnacentral:rRNA from 1 species
CUACGUGCCAGCAGCCGCGGUAAUACGGAAGGUCCAGGCGUUAUCCGGAUUUAUUGGGUUUAAAGGGAGUGUAGGCGGUUUGUUAAGCGUGUUGUGAAAUUUAGAUGCUCAACAUUUAACUUGCAGCGCGAACUGUCAGACUUGAGUACACGCAACGUAUGCGGAAUUCAUGGUGUAGCGGUGAAAUGCUUAGAUAUCAUGAAGAACUCCGAUUGCGAAGGCAGCAUACGGGAGUGUAACUGACGCUUAAGCUCGAAGGUGCGGGUAUCGAACAGGAUUAGAUACCCUGGUAGUCCGCACAGUAAACGAUGGAUGCCCGCUGUUAGCGCCUGGCGUUAGCGGCUAAGCGAAAGCAUUAAGCAUCCCACCUGGGGAGUACGCCGGCAACGGUGAAACUCAAAGGAAUUGACGGGGGCCCGCACAAGCGGAGGAACAUGUGGUUUAAUUCGAUGAUACGCGAGGAACCUUACCCGGGCUUGACAUCCCUCUGACCGCUCUAGAGAUAGAGUUUUCUUCGGGACAGAGG